AAAUGCGAUAAGUAAUGUGAAUUGCAGAAUUCAGUGAAUCAUCGAAUCUUUGAACGCACCUUGCGCUCCUUGGUAUUCCUUGGAGCAUGCCUGUUUGAGUAUCAUGAAAUCUUCAAAGUAAAUCUUUUGUUAACUCAAUUGGUUUAUACUUUGGUAUUGGAGGUCUUUGCAGCUUCACACCUGCUCCUCUUUGUUCAUUAGCUGGAUCUCAGUGUUAUGCUUGGUUCCACUCGGCGUGAUAAGUUAUCUAUCGCUGAGGACACUGUAAAAGGUGGCCAAGGUAAAUGCAGAUGAACCGCUUCUAAUAGUCCAUUGACUUGGACAAUACUUUUAUGAUCUGAUCUCAAAUCAGGUAGGACUACCCGCUGAACUUAAGC
rnacentral:misc_RNA from 1 species